GGACCGCGGGCUGCCGGGGCGCGCGGGCGUGCUCUUGGCACGAACUGCACCAUUGCACAUAGACCUUCGCGUCCCGGCACAUGGUCGGCCAGUAGUACCCUUGGUGAAGUAUUUUGUGCGCCAGGGUUCGCCCGCCAAUGUGUUCCCCGCAGACUCCUUCGUGGACCUCGGCCAGAACCGUCCGAGCUUCGUCGGGCUCCAAGCACCGUAGGAGAGGGUAUGUGAAGGACCGUUAUAGAGCCGUCCGCCCACCUAAGAGUACCACGCAAGCGUAUGACGCAGGCGCCGAGCCGUAGCCUCGUCGGGGGGAAGGGUCCCGUCCCGC
rnacentral:lncRNA from 1 species